rnacentral:rRNA from 1 species
AUUGAACGCUGGCGGCAUGCCUUACACAUGCAAGUCGAACGGUAACGGGUCCUUCGGGAUGCCGACGAGUGGCGAACGGGUGAGUAAUAUAUCGGAACGUGCCCAGUAGUGGGGGAUAACUGCUCGAAAGAGCAGCUAAUACCGCAUACGACCUGAGGGUGAAAGGGGGGGAUAGCAAGACCUCUCGCUAUUGGAGCGGCCGAUAUCAGAUUAGCUAGUUGGUGGGGUAAUGGACUACCAAGGCAACGAUCUGUAGUUGGUCUGAGAGGACGACCAGCCACACUGGGACUGAGACACAGCACAGACUACUACGGGAGGCAGCAGUGGGGAAUUUUGGACAAUGGGCGCAAGCCUGAUCCAGCAAUGCCGCGUGCAGGAAGAAGGCCUUCGGGUUGUAAACUGCUUUUGUCAGGGAAGAAAUCUUCUGGGCUAAUACCCCGGGAGGAUGACGGUACCUGAAGAAUAAGCACCGGCUAACUACGUGCCAGCCGCCGCGGUAAUAC